AUUGAACGCUGGCGGCAGGCCUAACACAUGCAAGUCGAGCGAGCGGCGGACGGGUGAGUAAUGUAUGGGGACUGCCCGAUCGAGGGGGAUAACUACUGGAAACGGUAGCUAAUACCGCAUACUAUCGGAUAACCCAUAUGGGAUUAGCUAGUUGGUGAGGUAAUGGCUCACCAAGGCGACGAUACCUAGCUGGUCUGAGAGGAUGAUCAGCCAACAGGGGAUGCGAAAAAGGCCCAGAACCCCACGGAGGCAGAAGUGGGGAAUAUUGCACAAUGGGCGAAAGCCUGAUGCAGCCAUGCCGCGUGUAUGAAGAAGGCCCUAGGGUUGUAAAGUACUUUCAGUCGGGAGGCGUUACCGACAGAAGAAGCACCGGCUAACUCCGUGCCAGCAGCCGCGGUAAUAC
rnacentral:rRNA from 1 species